rnacentral:rRNA from 1 species
ACGUAGGAGGCAAGCGUUAUCCGGAGUUACUGGGCGUAAAGGGCGUGCAGGCGGUUGGCUAAGUUCGUUGUGAAAUCCCCGGGCUUAACCUGUGAAUGGCGCUUGUGACUGGCGGGCUGGAGUACGGCAGAGGGGGGUGGAAUUCCACGUGUAGCAGUGAAAUGCGUAGAGAUCCGGAGGAACCCCGGUGGCGAAGGCGACUUGCUGGGCCUGAACUGACGCUCAGACGCGAAAGCAUGGGGAGCGAACGG